rnacentral:misc_RNA from 1 species
GAUGAAGAACGUAGUGAAAUGCGAUAAGUAAUGUGAAUUGCAGAAUUCAGUGAAUCAUCGAAUCUUUGAACGCACAUUGCGCCCGCCAGUAUUCUGGCGGGCAUGCCUGUUCGAGCGUCAUUUCAACCAUCAAGCCCCCAGGGGCUUGUGCUGGGGCCCUGCGGCUGCCCGCAGGCCCUGAAAACCAGUGGCGGGCUCGCUAGUCACACCGAGCGCAGUAGCACAUCUCGCUCAGGGCGUGCGGCGGGCUCCUGCCGUGAAACCCCCCACUGUAACCCCAAAGGUUGACCUCGGAUCAGGUAGGAAUACCCGCUGAACUUAAGCAUAUCAAUAAGCGGAGGA